rnacentral:rRNA from 1 species
UACGUAGGGUGCAAGCGUUAAUCGGAAUUACUGGGCGUAAAGCGUGCGCAGGCGGUGCUGUAAGACAGGUGUGAAAUCCCCGGGCUUAACCUGGGAACUGCAUUUGUGACUGCAUUGCUGGAGUGCGGCAGAGGGGGAUGGAAUUCCGCGUGUAGCAGUGAAAUGCGUAGAUAUGCGGAGGAACACCGAUGGCGAAGGCAAUCCCCUGGGCCUGCACUGACGCUCAUGCACGAAAGCGUGGGGAGCAAACAGG